rnacentral:lncRNA from 1 species
AUGGUUUACAUCUCAAACGCACAAGUGUUGGACAACUGGAGUCAGUCUCCAUGGAGAUUAUCUUUGAUAACAGAUUUCUUCUGGGGAAUAGCUGAGUUUGUGGUUUUGUUUUUCAAAACUCUGCUUCGGCAAGAUUUGAAAAAAAGAAGAAGCUAUGGAAACUCAUCUGAUUUCAGAUACGAUGACGAUGGAAGAGGGCCACCGGGAAACCCUCCUGGAAGAAUGGGUCCAAUCAAUCAUCUGGGUGGCCCCAGUCCUCCUCCAAUGGCUGGUGGAUGAGGAAGG